AUUCAAGGGGUACAUGUGCAGGUUUGCUACAUGGGCAUAUUGUGUGAUGGUUUAGAGUACAAUGGAUCCCGUCACCCAAAUAACCGAGUCCUGCAAACGUAGAAGGUCUCAAGAAAACCACUUCAUCAAUACUCACACAGGAGCAGAUCCUAUCGUCUACAGCCACAGCUUCCCAGCAUUGGUGGAAAAGGUCAGCUUGCAAUCAGUCAGCCCGUGCAUACUGGAAAAUUGGAAUAAAAAACAACUAAGAUUCAGGAGAGGGUCAUGGAGGAAAGAAAAUGAGCACCAUGGAACAGUUGCCUGAGAAGACAGGCUCAGGUUAGUGUCUCUGCAGGGAGCACUAAUUGGGUAGGCAGAAAUCAGAAUAGGUGUG